rnacentral:tRNA from 1 species
CGGGGAGUAGCCGAGUGGGAAGGCGUCUGAUUCGGGGUCAGAAGGCCGGGUGUUCGAUUCACCCCUCCCCGACCA